rfam:Gossypium raimondii Chr01_contig_307, whole genome shotgun sequence.
UAUUAAAAUUUUCAUUCAUUUCUACUAUUAAAAAUUGAUGUAGCUGACGGACUAAUCAAAGAGAUACAUGUGGCGUGCCACAUAUACCUCAUUAUGAUGUAUAUAGACCAGUUUUUAUAGUAAAAAUGAAUGAAAUUUUUAAUA